GCUGGGCAUGGUGGUGCAUGCCUGUAAUCCCAGCUACUCGGGAGGCUGAGGCAGAAUAAUUGCUUGAACCCAGGAGGCGGAGGUUGCGGUGAGCCGAGAUCGUGCCAUUGCACUCCAGCCUGGGUAACAAGAGCAAAACUCUGCCUCAA
rnacentral:SRP_RNA from 1 species